AUUGAACGCUGGCGGCAGGCCUAACACAUGCAAGUCGCGCGGAACGGCGGACGGGUACGUAAUGCCUAGGACGCUGCCUGGUAGUGGGGGAUGACGUCCGGAAACGGGCGCUAAUACCGCAUACUAACAGAUGAGCCUAGGUCGGAGUAGCUAGUUGGAGGGGUAAAGGCCUACCAAGGCGACGAUCCGUCAAUGGUCUGAGAGGAUGACCAGUCACUCUGGAACUGUGACACGGUCCAGAUUCCUACGGGAGGCAGCAGUGGGGAAUAUUGGAUAAUGGGCGAAAGCCGCAUCCAGCCAUGCCGCGUGUGUGAAGAAGGUCUUCGGAUUUUAAAGCACUUUAAGUUGGUAGGCGUUACCAACAGAAUAAGCACCGGCUAACUUCGUGCCAGCAGCCGCGGUAAUAC
rnacentral:rRNA from 1 species